rnacentral:rRNA from 1 species
CCUACGGGGGGCUGCAGUGAGGAAUAUUGGUCAAUGGGCGCGAGCCUGAACCAGCCAAGUCGCGUGAGGGAAGACGGUCCUAUGGAUUGUAAACCUCUUUUGUCGGGGAGCAAAUGACGCCACGCGUGGCGUUCCGAGAGUACCCGAAGAAAAAGCAUCGGCUAACUCCGUGCCAGCAGCCGCGGUAAUACGGAGGCUGCGAGCGUUAUCCGGAUUUAUUGGGUUUAAGGGGUGCGCAGGCGGAAGUUCAAGUAAGCGGGAAAAGUGAGUGGCUAAACCUAUGCGAGCCGUUGAAACUGGUUGUCGUGAGUGAGCGAGAAGUAUGCGGAAUGCGUGGUGUAGCGGUGAAAUGCAUAGAUAUCACGCAGAACUCCGAUUGCGAAGGCAGCAUACCGGCGCUCAACUGACGCUCAUGCACGAAAGUGUGGGUAUCGAACAGGAUUAGAUACCCUAGUAGUC